ensembl:lncRNA
GUCACUUGCUGUUUGUCUAUGAAACAUCAAUGUACCUAAUAGUUAUCCAUGCUCCCCUCAGAGCUCAUUGUGGUUGGUUGCGGUCAGUAUGCCCAGCAGGGAGAGGCGGCGAAAAUGGCGGAUGUUUGUUUGUUUGUAUUUGCUUGUUAUUUACGUCUGCAUUGGGAGUCUGGUGGGAACUGCAGUGGGAGGCAGCAGGACUUUGUAUCUGUCUCCCCGUUGACUGGGGAGAUCUAUCUUCUGGAGUCGGGAAGAGGAGGAGGAGGCUGGGCCAGAAACCUGUUUAUCAGCAAAGUUACGGCAGCCAUGACACCAACGCGGAAGGGAGGAUGUUUGAGCUCUAUCUGUGGGUAGGAUGGUGUACGGUGGCUUGGGUUACCCUCUGUGACUCCAAGAAAGGUUGUCGAUUCGAACCCCAACGUCCGCAGUCUACUUGACAUGACCUCUCUCACUCGAAUCCAUCUGUGCCGCCCAGUUGAUCAACGAGGACGAGGGCUUGGGUCGGCUGGCCCACACGUUGCAGGUCUUGGUGGACCUCGCGCCGACUGCUGCCAGCCACCGCCGCGCUAGCAGACCUGAGCCGCUAGGGGCGGACAGGCUAAGCACUGCUCCAUCCUUCUCUUAGCUCAAUGUCGUCCACUGAUUUUGCUGUCAUCCAAAGGUCCAAAAUGGUACCCCAAAAAAAUCAAUGAAACACUUGGUUUGUAAUCAUUGGUUGUUGAAAGUGAAAUAUGGAUUUCUUCCGUGUUUACAAGUAAAAACAGGCGUUUAGUUCGAUUUUUUUGGUUUUCAAGUAGGCCUAUAUAAAUUAUGCACAUGGCAAGUGGAAGUCGAGCAACUUGUUUUAAAGUUGAUUCAUACUUUUUUUGUUAAGAUUUUUAACUUUAAAAAAUGUUUUACUCGUCAAACAUUUAAUUAUCAUGCAAUUGUUCAUAUGGCAUUAUCAUUAUCGGCAUUAUCAUUAUCGGCAUCAUCGAUCGACACCGACCCGCCCGCAGAUAUUUCCCACCACUAUCCCUGAGACGGGUCGGGCCAGGUCUUUGAUCGAGCUUUUGUGUUUUUUUUGUUUUUGUUAUCAUUGCUUUAUUGGCCUAAUCUGAGGAGAAAUAUAUGCCAUAAACAGAAAUUUUAUUUGUUUGGUUCACGUGUCGUCACUGUAGCUUUGCGCCGCCAUCUUGACGACCGAUCCCACCCACAGACCCACUGAUUUCAGUGGUAACUCAGCACCAACAACAACACCUACGACCACAAUCAAACAAUAAGGAUGCACUCUUUUAUUCUCUUUAGUGCAGGUAAUGAAAGGUUCUGAAAGAUGGCAUAUCCAUGUAGCUUACUAAUAAAAAAUAAUAAAAUGUAUAAAUAAAAUGCAUACAAAAAAGGUUGACAUAUGACCCACUAUGUUCUGCUCCAUAUACCCAAUGUUGACAACGUCCAGGCCAAAGAGUAUUGGUAUUAAUACUUCAUUCAUUGUCCAAAAUAAUCCAUAAUAAUUCAAAUCGGGUUUUGUUGUGGGUACAAAAUUAAUCUUGAAGAAAACUCGUCCCAAGCGUCCCCGGCGAAAUUAUCAUCUAUGAUUUGAUGACUGAUUUCAACGAUCAAUGAUUGUAACCCACCACAAACUGUUGUCAAGAAGUCACAAAUAUAUAGUACUUAACUUUGCAAUUAUCAGAUAAAGAUUAUUGGUGGCCAAGUGCCUCACUUUAGCGUCCUUCACCCAUCCAGCCACAGCAUUAUUGGUAGGCAUCAGUGCUCUUGAACGCUUUCAAGAUAUCGCCACUGUAUGGGGAGGGGUUGUGGACUAAAUAAAUACAUAUGUCAUGAAAAUUGAUUUGAGGCAAGCGUGAGGCCGAUACUAAUGGACUAAAAAAAACUGGGGGUAACAAAUAAGGUUCGGAGCCUGAAAUCGGCGUUCCAGAAAACGUGACGUAGAUGAACCGUAUGAAUUCAUACGGUUCAUCUAUCAUCUAUCAUUUAUCAAAUUAAAACAUAGGGGGUAACACUGUUGUUUUUCUUUGGUCGUCAUGAAAAAAAACACAAGGGGUAACACUGUCGUUUUAAUCAAACGAAACAUGAGGGGUAAUAUCCUUGUUUUUAUCAAAUGAAACAUAAGGGGUGACACUGUCAUUUUUCUUUGGUCGUCAUGAAAAAAACCAUAAGGGUUAACACUGUCGUUUUUUAUCGGUCGUCAAGAAAAAAAACAAAAGGGGUAACACUGUCGUUUUUUAUUGGUCGUCAUGAAAAAAAACAUAAGGGGUAACACUGUCGUUUUUUUAUUGGUCGUCAUGAAAAAAAACAUAAGGGGUAACACUGUCGUUUUUUAUUGGUCGUCAUGAAAAAAAACAUAAGGGGUAAAACUGUUGUUUUUUAUCGGUCGUCAUGAAGAAAAAACAUAAGAUAUGUCGAUAUUUAUCAAUCAAAAUAUAGGGGGUAACACUGUCGUUUUUAUCAAAUGAAACAUGAGGUCAUAUAUAACCUCAGACAUAAUUAAAUUAUAUAUCUCAGUGAGAAGUGGAGAGAGCUGUGAGCUAUCCCCCUGGAGACCGGGGUUCAAGUCCGGUAGAAGUCUUCCGUUGGACGUCUCUUAUUUCUAUUUCAUGCGAAUUAUAAAGUCAAGUAUAACCAUUGUGAUGACAUUAUUUGGUGUCAUGAUGGUGCUUUGAUAAGUUCGGAGGUUUACACUCUAAACAGCACAGGUACGGAUCCCUGCAAAAACCUUGACAGGGGUACGACUGUUGUUUUUUAUUGGUCAUGAUGAAAAAAAC